ACUUAUGGCCAUACCAACCUGGCUAUGCCCGAUCUCGUCUGAUCUCGGAAGCUAAGCAGGUUUGGGCCUGGUUAGUACUUGGAUGGGAGACCGCCUGGGAAUACAGGUGCUGUAAGCU
rnacentral:rRNA from 1 species